GUUGCUGAUUUAGUUUCUGCUCUUUUAUCGAAAAUUUUUUCAUGUUAUACGCUGCUCACUGCAUCAUAAGUGAGACUGCAUAAAUCUGAAUAUUGGACUUUUGCAGGAAAGCACAUUGUGUUCCAUGUAACACUUUCAUUUCCAUUAAAGUUUUAGAUUUAAUAUGUGCAUGUUCCGAUAAGACAAAAGGCCCUCCAUUUGAAAGGCUAACGACUGUGUUCGAACAGAAUAAUGAGAAAGAAAAAUGUUGCAAAAUGCAAAAUUGUGUAUUUUUACGGAGCCCUUAUUUUCACAAUCAAAAUGUAUUUCGUCAGUUGUAAUCAGGAUAAAACCUGUUUUUUAUUUCUCAUCAUCGUCCUCUGAGCGCAAACAGACACACUUUCUAGCGUUCACAAGUUUAAAAGACUCAACGAGGAUGUUUUCAAGAAACUUGCCAAAGCCAUCCGCCGAUUGGAAAUUUGUCACGAGUCCCGGUGUGAUCAAAUUUUCCUUUAGCACUUGAAUCAGGCUAAGAGAGAGUCUGGAAAAGGGGGAGAAGUGAGACCCUUAAGAGAAGAUGGUCUUCAAUCAGCACUGAACAACCUACAACCUGACCCCAAGUGAAAGGCUUCUGGGCUCACUGUGUCUCUGGGAAUACUUGCCAAAAGCUGCAAAGUGAACAAUGUUGUAGAACUGAAG